GCAAGACCUAAACAAGGAGAAAGAAAAAUGAUUUGUUGUUUCUAGCAAUGUGUUUUUUUUAAAUUAAAGCUGUAUAGAAUAAUGCAUUUUGACUCUAAAACUGCCCUAGAAAAUACAGUUCGUGUAACUGAAAAUCCUAUUUUACAAAAAACACUUACUUGGAUCAAUUGUAUCCCGUGGCAAGGAGACGAGUAUGACUAGCAUCACGAAAAACACAAGGUUGAAGAGGAAGUUGAUACGUAUGCAUAGCCAUUCAACUGUCGCUGAAUUAUGGAAGUUGCAGCUCCUGAUACAGUCUCUGAAAAAUGGUGGAGGACUGGAGCUUUUCUGAUGCCAACCAUCCUUGCUAGCUCUCUAGCCGAACUGAUGUAAUAGCUCUGCAUUAAGUAUAAGGUAAAAACUAGUUAUGUGUGGAAACUGGGUUGACACCUUACCAGAACAAGAUCUGAGUCCCGCAAGAACUCUAGCUGAUGGGUAACAUACAUGACUGUCUUAGAGGACAUUAGUCUCAAUCACUCAUGUUUACGUACCUUGAAGAGAUGUGCGCUGGUGUGCGCAUCCACAGCACUGAAGGGAUCAUCCAAGAAGUAAACAUCAGAAUCACUGUACAAUGCCCUGGCAAGCUGGAUCCUCUGCUUCUGGCCUCCACUUAGGUUCACACCCCUUUCCCCUACUACAGUCAUAUCUCCAUUGGCCCAUAACUCCAAAUCUCUAUCCAAAGCACACCCUUGUAGCACCUCUUCGUAUAAGCUUCUGUCCAUAGCCUUCCCAAAGAGCACAUUGUCCUGAAUUGUCCCAGUUUGAAUCCAAGCACUCUGUGGGACAUAUGCCCUUGACCCGACAACUGUUGGUUCUGCACCGCUAACCCUUGGAAUCUCUCCCAUGAUGCUGUAAAGGAGGCUUGAUUUGCCUGAACCAACUGGCCCGCACACCGCAACCUUGAGACCCUUCCUGAUGCUCACCUUGCUGUUGAUCUUGAGUGUUACCUUUGUUUUCUUCGAGCUAGUAUCAGCUUCCCAACUGUACUCUCCUGGUUCAAUUAUUAUUUCGCCAGCCAUUGCCAAGUCCUUCAUUCCAUUUAUGUUGCCAUGGCAACUUGGUUUACCCUGGUGAUCUUCUUUGAUGAACUCUUCUAUUCUAUCCAAGGACACCUUGGUUUGUGUGACCAUUGACACAAGCUCUGGGAGGUUAUAGAUCGGGUCUUGGAGGAUUCUGAACGUGGCAAGGGCCGAUAAAACUGUUCCAGCUGACAAUGGUAUCUCCACAAGAAUGCAGACACCAAAGGUAACGACCGAAACCAACGUUGGUGAGGCCCAGAACAGGAAGGCUAUCGCUGAGCACGUGUAGAGAUACUUCCUAAGCCACCCCCUUUCCACAUCCCUGAGCUUCAGGAGCUUGUCCAAGUAGGCUGUCUCCCAUGCAUGAAGCUUCAAGAUCCUCAUGCUCUUCAUUGCCUCGGCCAUAGCCUUGAUGCGAGAGUCCUUCGCCUCCAUUAUCUUCAUAUUGAGGUUCUGCUGCGAAUUUGCCAGUGGUGUGUUGCUCACCAUCACCAACACUGUUACGAGGACUGCAGACAGCGAGGCCAUUGCACCAAGACUGCGGUACAGGAUGGCAAGUGCCAAGAAAAUUUGCAAGGGCAGCAACCAAAUCCCAUGGAUGUACCAGAAGAACUCACCAACCUUCUCGACGUCAACAUCAAGGAAGUUCACAACUUUCCCUGCAACUGGACCCGAGUUCUUCAUCAGCAGGGACUUCUUGUAGAUGGACACCAUCAGUGCUGCCCGCACCUGGAAUCCAAUUCUGCGGGCGCCAAAAUACCACUGCCGCUGUGAGAGUGACUCCACUGUCUUGGAGGCAAAGAAGAGGCAUGCAAGCAUGUAUCCACGGCCAUGGCCCUUGUCAGUGUUCUCGUCAGAGAGUAGCUCCACCAAGUAGGUGAUCAAGAAUGGUCCCAUAUAAGAAGAAACAGUGUUGAGCCCUGGUAAUGAAAGCCAGUCACUGUAUUAAUAGAUUGCCAGGACAAAUACUUAGCUCUAUUGAAAAAAGAAGAACUGUUCACUGACCUGCAAAGACUGCAUUGGUGACCAGAGGUGUCCAGACAGCACAAAUGAUGGCUUCCCGCAGUGGCAUUGGCUCAGGUUUCUGCUUGUGGAGUGUCUCUUGAAGCAAGGCAUACGACUGCUCUGCCGUCUCGGACUGCGGCACAGAUGGGAUGUGUUCCAGCUCAAGCCUCACCUUGUGCCCCUUCUCGAAGACUGGAUUCAGCCACCGGAAUGUGAGGCGACUCCACCACCCCGAGCUAGAUAACCUGUCCCUGCUGCUGUCAUCAGCAUCUUCUCUGAGCAGUAGUGGCUGGUUCAGCUCUUUCUGGUUUGCUUUGGAAAGCCUCAUAGCUACUACAACCAGGCAGAUGACAGUGCAGAAGGGAAGAGAAGCGAAAUCAACGACGACAGUUGCAGAAUCAAAGAGGCAAAGCAAAUGCAGCGAGGCAAGGAGCGAUUCCGAUAAGAAGCUGAAGAACCACCAAAAAACAAGAACCGGAGGCCAGUUGGACGAUACUACUACCCCUGCAGCACUUUCAUGGUUGCAGUAGAGCAGAAAGAGAGUAGCCAGAAGCCACGAGGAAGAUUGAAAUACCAGGCCCGGGGAGAUGGUUUGCCGCUUCCAACACCCAAGAACCGAGAGCCCUAUAUGCAACAGCGUGAUCGAAGCAUUGCAGAAUGCAACUAUACUGGCUGCCCCUCCUCGCUGCUGCGCCGAGACCAUGUCGGUGCCAUACCCUGCCGCUGCUGCUUCUUGGUGCCUGUUCCUCCGUUUCACGAGCUCUGCAAGGGUCCAAACCAGCAGGACGGCGAAUGCUGCUGCCCGGACGUAGUCCAAUGCUUGCAAUCGCUCCAUGGGGUGCUGGAAAUCAUGAGAAGGUGGCAUGGAGCUGUAGAACCAAGAUGGCACCGAAUUGGCCUGUUACAUUGAGGCAGGACAGUGAGAGACAAACUUGGGCAAAAUAAGCUAAGCAGUGAGUAGUGGGAGGGGACGGGCGCUAACCAAAAGUAGAGCCUGACUGACAGCACGUGGCUUGGCUUGAGAGGCUAUGUACGCAUACUUGGGAUCGGCAAUGGCAUCAAGCCUUGCGCUGGCCUUUUUCAAGCGGCGAUGCUAGUGUUUACUGCCGACCUAAAACAAGAAAGAGAAUCAAAGGGCAUAUAUAUUGAGAUAGUAUUAUGUUUUGCGGCAUGCGUGCAUCUUGAUUGGGUUUGUUGGCCGGCUCUUUUGGCAUAAGCAGGAGAAAGCAGGUUGGUAUCAGUGUCUGUCCGGAUAAACGAAAGAUGCACCAAGUAGGCAACUAGAGCUGGUCGCGGCGUGGAUGGAGUACACCAACUAUUGUUCUUAUCAGCCAGCUCCAAAGCAUAUGGUCGUCGGUCUCAGCUAAUCUGCUAAUGCAGUAUUAUUAUGCAGCUAAACGUACCGGAUAUUGUGAUUUCGAAACGAAGAUGGCCCUAUAUAAUAAACAAGCACAAAAGUGCCGGAGAUAAGUCGAGCCUCGUGUCGAAAAAGCUGAACUACUGUACUCCCUCUGUAAGGAAAUAUAAAAGCAUUUAGAUCACUAGUGAGAGUGAGUAUCAGCGGAGAAGAUGAAGAAGCAAAUAUCGAAAUGCCACUGAUCGAAAGCACGACAGGGCAGAGACCCGGGGGACGCCCGAUCCAAAUUGCCCACGGAGAACGAUGAUCAAAUCUGGGCACGGCGCCGGGCCCGAUCUGGCCCGGGCAUCUCCAUCGGUGGUGGGUGGCGGUGCAAGCCGCCAACGGCGCACUGCUCAGACGCGGAACGUGCAUGCAUGCGCUGCAGCAGUUGCAGGACGAGCCCUUGUGCCGUCGUCUACCCCCCCCAUGGCUUAGCAUUGGCAAUGGCCAAUGGAAGAGGGGCCGAUGCAGCAUCCAUGUGAGUAAGCGGAAAGUUACCAUCACUGCCGUCGAUUUAUUUUUUAUCCUCGCGCUCGCUGGCGCUGGCAGGAGGAAGGCGGUGAAACUUGAUCGACCUUUGUAUGUAUCCCUGUGAACAUACACAUACGUCGUCCGCGUGUGUGGUGACGUCGUUGAUGCGAGCGCAUGCAAAUCCGCCACGAUUUCGAUCCGAUCCGAUUGUGAU